rnacentral:pre_miRNA from 1 species
AUAAUACUCCCUCCGUCUCAAAAUUCUUGUCUUACAUUUGUCUAAAUACGGAUGUAUCAAGUCACGUUUUAGUAUUAGAUACAUCCGUAUCUAGACGAAUCUAAGACAAGAAUUUUGGGACGGAGGGAGUAGAUG